rnacentral:rRNA from 1 species
UACAGAGGGUGCGAGCGUUGUCCGGAAUCACUGGGCGUAAAGGGCGCGUAGGCGGCGCGGUAAGCGUGUGGUGAAAGCCCGGGGCUCAACCCCGGGUCGGCCGUGCGAACUGCCGUGCUUGAGCACUGUAGAGGCGGGUGGAAUUCCGGGUGUAGCGGUGGAAUGCGUAGAGAUCCGGAAGAACACCGGUGGCGAAGGCGGCCCGCUGGGCAGUGGCUGACGCUGAGGCGCGACAGCGUGGGGAGCAAACAGG